GUGGCUAGGUUCCUGGAAUACUGCAGGCGGGAUGCAGGGGGGCUCAAGUUAGUAAAGUGUUACUUUAGGUUUUUGUAUUGUCAAUAGUGUUUCAGAGCAGUGUUGAUCAAAUUAACUACUUUUAUUUUUCUUGUGCCCUUCAUUUGUUUUUGGGGGAGGAAAGGGGGAGGAUAUGUGCCUGUGCCUGCGAUUAGUAUUUCUUCUUCCCUGGCUAUUAAGGAGCAGUCCGUAGUGAAUUAUGUUAAUUUUUAUAUGGACACAGAGCAAUUGUACCUUUUGGGUGACAAAUGGGAGACAGUACUGAAGGGAAUAUUGGCUCUAUCAAGUAAUGAAAUAGGAACAUAUGAUAAUAUGUAUAUAUAGCUACCGAUGAAGCAAAGGGCACCUUUAUUUUGCUUUACUCUGCAUUGAAAUCAGUAAAAGAUACAAUACCAAAGGCACAACACAUGAAAGCAAGAACUGAUAAGCUGGACUUGAUUAAAAUUAAGAACUGGUCUGCUAAAGUCAAAGUCAAGAGAAUGGAAGACAAGAUAUAAACUGGGAGAAAAUCUUUGCAAAAGACAUUUCUGAUAAAGGACUGCUAUCAAAAUAUACGAAGAAGUCUUAAAACUCAAAAGUAAGAAAACAAGGAGCCCAAUUAAAAAAUGGGCCAAAGACCUUAACAGGCAUCUCACCAAAGAAGAUGUAUAGAUGGCAGAGCCACCUAUAAAAGGAUGCUCUGUAUCAUGUCAUCAAAGAAACACAAAUUGAAAUAAGAUAUCACUACACAACUAUCAGAAUGACCAAAAUAUGGAAUAUUGACAAUACCAAAUGCUGAUGAGGAUGUGAAGCAAUAGGAACUCAUAUUUGUUGCUAGUGGGAACGCAAAAAGGUACAGCCACUUUGAAAGUUUGGUGCUUUCUUACAAAAUAUAAAAAUACUCUUACUCUACAAUUGAACACUUGCACUCCCUAGUAUUUACCCAAAGAAGUUGAAAACUUAUGUCCACAUAAAAACCUACACACAGAUAUUUAAGGCAUCAUUAUUCAUAAUUGCCAAAACUUGGAAGCAGCUAAGAUUUCCUUCAGUAGGUGAAUGGAUAAAUGAACUAUGAUACAUC